rnacentral:rRNA from 1 species
UAACGGACUACCCAGGCAACGAUCCUUAGGGGUUCUGAGAGGAUUAUCCCCCACACUGGUACUGAGACACGGACCAGACUCCUACGGGAGGCAGCAGUGAGGAAUAUUGGUCAAUGGGCGCGAGCCUGAACCAGCCAUCCCGCGUGCAGGAUGACGGCCCUAUGGGUUGUAAACUGCUUUUCUACGCCAAGAAAGGCCCGUACGAGUACGGGAUUGACGGUAGCGUAGGACUAAGCAUCGGCUAACUCCGUGCCAGCAGCCGCGGUAAUACGGAGGAUGCAAGCGUUAUCCGGAUUCAUUGGGUUUAAAGGGUGCGCAGGCGGGCUUGUAAGUCAGUGGUGAAAUACUGCCGCUUAACGGUAGAAUUGCCAUUGAUACUGCGAGUCUUGAGUAUGGUUGAGGUAGGCGGAAUGUGCAGUGUAGCGGUGAAAUGCAUAGAGAUUGCACAGAACGCCGAUUGCGGAGGCAGCUUACUAAGCCAUAACUGACGCUGAGGCACGAAAGCGUGGGGAGCGAACAGGAUUAGAUACCCUGGUAGUCCACGCUGUAAACGAUGUUCACUCGCUGUUUGCGAUACACAGUAAGCGGCUGAGCGAAAGCAUUAAGUGAACCACCUGGGGAGUACGAUCGCAAGGUUGAAACUCAAAGGAAUUGACGGGGGCCCGCACAAGCGGAGGAACAUGUGGUUUAAUUCGAUGAUACGCGAGGAACCUUACCUGGGCUUAAAUGUAGGCUGCAUGAAGUAGAAAUACUUCUUUCCUUCGGGACUGCUUACAAGGUGCUGCAUGGUUGUCGUCAGCUCGUGCCGUGAGGUGUCGGGUUAAGUCCCAUAACGAGCGCAACCCUUAUCGUUAGUUGCUAGCAGGUAAAGCUGAGGACUCUAGCGAGACUGCCACCGUAAGGUGAGAGGAAGGUGGGGAUGGCGUCAAAUCAGCACGGCCCUUACGUCCAGGGCUACACACGUGUUACAAUGGCCGGUACAGAGGGAAGCUACCUGGUGACAGGUUGCCAAUCUUAAAAGCCGGUCUCAGUUCGGAUUGGAGUCUGCAACCCGACUCCAUGAAGUUGGAUUCGCUAGUAAUCGCGCAUCAGCCAUGGCGCGGUGAAUACGUUCCCGGGCCUUGUACACACCGCCCGUCAA